rnacentral:lncRNA from 13 species
CAAAAUAUAAAUAAUAAAGUAAAGUACAGAUACCCCAAAAGACUGGUUUCAGUCGUACUUCAUAAACACUACAUAAAUGUGUCACAAAUCAUCUAGAACUAUGUCAUGCUCCGUAAAGGGUUGAUAAAUGUUGCAUAACUGUGUGACAUAACCACCAAGAUCAAAUAUGGCAUAAACCUGUGCUUUAUAAAGAGUGGCAUGAGCACCGCUUAAUAAAGGCUUUAUAAAUCAUAUUAAAUUGAGGCUUCACAAAGUAUUUACAACCUUGUCAUGCAUCUAGGUAGAGCAUUGCAACGUCAGGAUAGUGGGUUCCAUUGCCGGGACUACCCAUACGUAGAAAUGGAUGCACGUAAGUCGCUUUGGAUGAAAGCGUCUGCUAAAUUGUAUAUAUUGUAUUAUAUUACUCUAAAACAUUUCUAGGAUGGCCCAACCUCUUUCCCUCUUGGGUGCAUAGCCCAAAAAAAUAAUCCCCAAAAUGCUGUGCUGCAGGAUGACACACAUAAGAAAUAAAAAAUCUAAAACCUGGCAAAAAGGAACCAGAUAAAAUCAUUUAGAGUGUUCACAACAAAUCACAACGAUUUUUGAGUGUAAUUUAAUUCUGUGUGAAUGCCCUGCACUGUUGUUUGGAUAGCGAUGUUUAUGUAGCGCAACAAGUGCAUAUGUGACGAGUUCGCAGAUCAAAUGCCCUCUUGUGGUGCCAGCGGACAGCGGGAAACCAGUUGGAACCAACGUGCAGUACCAUCUGCAGGCAGAGAGGCAAGAAUCAUUCGUCUGUCAGCUCAAGGACAAACUACACUAUUCACAGGCCUGUGUAAUGUUCAAUGUAAUUCAUUGCAUUGCUGGACUUUUUGAAACUUAAUGUAUUUGUAUUGUAUUAAACAUGUCAAAAUAAAAGGAAAUGUAGGGUUUAAACAUGUCUAUAAUGUUAAUUUGUUUUUGCUGUUAGUGAUAAUUCCCUAAGUGUUAAUACAUGUGUUUACAUCCUUACGCCUUUAUGUAUGUGUUAUGAAAGGUGUCUGACUUUAUAGUAAGUACAGCGUCAUACAGUGCAUUCGGAAAGAAUUCAGACCAUUUGACUUUUUCCACAUUUUGUUACAUUACAGACUUUUUCUAAAAUGGAUUAAAUUGUUUGUUUUUCCCUCAUCAACCUACACGCAAUACCCCAUGAUGACAAUGCAAAAACAGGUUUUUAAAUAUUUUAGAACAUUUCUUACCAAUACAAAACUGAUUUAUCACACUUACAUAAGUAUUCAGACCCUUUACUCAGUACUUUGUUGAAGCACCUGUGGCAGCAGUUACAGCCUCAAGUCUUCUUGGGUACGACGCUACAAGCUUGGCACAACUGUAUUUGGGGAGUUUCUCCCAUUCUUGCACUUGGGAGCCCUUUGAUAGGCAGCACGUGACAUGUUAUUAUAUAUGAUAGCUAGUAACCUCUUCACCAGGCUAAUUGCGCAUGGGCAGAAGUGUAGGUGAAAGGGAUUAGGAAGACACGAGCCCUUAAUGUAACCCAAUAUAUUUUGGAUGAGUUUCUGAUGUAACUAUGCUUGUCUCACUAAUAACCACCAGAUGACACUGUUGUCAAGAACGUCAGCGGAUUGAGACUGCUGCUGGCUUUUC